GGCUCAGGACGAACGCUGGCGGCGCGCCUAACACAUGCAAGUCGAACGGAGCAAAGAGGAGCUUGCUUUCUUUGCUUAGUGGCGAACGGGUGAGUAACGCGUGAGUAACCUGCCCUGGAGUGGGGGACAACAGUUGGAAACGACUGCUAAUACCGCAUAAGCCCACGGAGCCGCAUGGCUCUGAGGGAAAAGGAGAAAUUUGCUUCAGGAUGGACUCGCGUCCAAUUAGCUAGUUGGUGAGGUAAACGGCCCACCAAGGCGACGAUUGGUAGCCGGACUGAGAGAUUGAACGGCCACAUUGGGACUGAGACACGGCCCAGACUCCUACGGGAGGCAGCAGUGGGGAAUAUUGCACAAUGGGGGAAACCCUGAUGCAGCGACGCCGCGUGAGUGAAGAAGUAUUUCGGUAUGUAAAGCUCUAUCAGCAGGGAAGAACAUGACGGUACCUGACUAAGAAGCCCCGGCUAACUACGUG
rnacentral:rRNA from 1 species